AACGAGGCCGACCUGCGGCUGAGUUACCUGCGGAAGGAUCAUUAAUGAGUUAGGGUCUCCGGCCCGAACCUCCCACCCCAUGUUAAUCUACCCUUGUUGCUUUGGCGGCCGUAUCCUACGCGAUACCGCCGGCCCCUUGGGGGUUUAUACCUCCCGGCUGGCGUGUCUGCCAAAAGCCCAUCUAAAAUCAUGUUAAAUGAUUUGUCUGAGUGAGAAUGAAUAGCUGAAAACUUUCAACAA
rnacentral:misc_RNA from 1 species